GACGAACGCUGGCGGCGUGCUUAACACAUGCAAGUCGAACGGAAAGGCCCUGCUUUUGUGGGGUGCUCGAGUGGCGAACGGGUGUGUAACACGUGAGUAACCUGCCCUUGACUUUGGGAUAACUUCAGGAAACUGGGGCUAAUACCGGAUAGGAGCUCCUGCUGCAUGGUGGGGGUUGGAAAGUUUCGGCGGUUGUGGAUGGUCUGGGGGCUUAUCAGCUCGUUGGUGGGGUAGUGGCUUACCAAGGCGUUGACGGGUAGCCGGCCUGAGAGGGUGACCGGCCACAGUGGGACUGAGAUACGGCCCAGACUCCUACGGGGGGCAGCAGUGGGGAGUAGUGCACGAUGGGCGGAAGCCUGAUGCAGCAACGCCGCGGGCGGGAUGACGGCCUUCGGGUUGUAAACCGCUUUCGCCUGGGACGAAGCGUGAGUGACGUUAAGGGGUAAAGAAGCACCGGCUAACUACGUG
rnacentral:rRNA from 1 species